AUUGAACGCUGGCGGCAGGCCUAACACAUGCAAGUCGAGCGGAUGAAGGGAGCUUGCUCCUGGAUUCAGCGGCGGACGGGUGAGUAAUGCCUAGGAAUCUGCCUGGUAGUGGGGGAUAACGUCCGGAAACGGGCGCUAAUACCGCAUACGUCCUGAGGGAGAAAGUGGGGGAUCUUCGGACCUCACGCUAUCAGAUGAGCCUAGGUCGGAUUAGCUAGUUGGUGGGGUAAAGGCCUACCAAGGCGACGAUCCGUAACUGGUCUGAGAGGAUGAUCAGUCACACUGGAACUGAGACACGGUCCAGACUCCUACGGGAGGCAGCAGAGGGGAAUAUUGGACAAUGGGCGAAAGCCUGAUCCAGCCAUGCCGCGUGUGUGAAGAAGGUCUUCGGAUUGUAAAGCACUUUAAGUUGGGAGGAAGGGCAGUAAGUUAAUACCUUGCGGUAUUGACGUUACCAACAGAAUAAGCACCGGCUAACUUCGUG
rnacentral:rRNA from 1 species